GACGAACGCUGGCGGCGUGCUUAACACAUGCAAGUCGAACGGAGCGAAUGAAAGCUUGCUUUUAUAAGCUUAGUGGCAAACGGGUGAGUAACACGUAGGCAACCUGCCGACAGGAUGGGGACAACAUUCCGAAAGGAAUGCUAAUACCGAAUGAAGCGCAGGAGAGGCAUCUCUCCUGCGUGAAAGAUGGCCUCUAUAUAUAAGCUAUCACCUGUCGAUGGGCCUGCGUCUGAUUAGCUGGUAGGUGAGGUAACGGCUCACCUAGGCGACGAUCAGUAGCCGGUCUGAGAGGAUGAACGGCCACAUUGGGACUGAGACACGGCCCAGACUCCUACGGGAGGCAGCAGUGGGGAAUCUUCCGCAAUGGGCGCAAGCCUGACGGAGCAACGCCGCGUGAGUGAAGAGGGUCUUCGGAUCGUAAAGCUCUGUUGAUGGGGACGAACGUGCCUAAUGCGAAUAGUAUUAGG
rnacentral:rRNA from 1 species